UACGGUAGGGGGCAAGCGUUGUCCGGAUUUAUUGGGCGUAAAGAGCGUGUAGGCGGCCAGACAGGUCAGCUGUGGAAACUCGAGGCUCAACCUCGAGACGUCGGUUGAAACCGUCUGGCUAGAGUCCGGAAGAGGAGAGUGGAAUUCCCGGUGUAGCGGUGAAAUGCGCAGAUAUCGGGGAAGAACACCCGUGGCGAAGGCGGCUCUCUGGGACGGUACUGACGCUGAGACGCGAAAGCGUGGGGAGCGAACAGG
rnacentral:rRNA from 1 species